rnacentral:rRNA from 1 species
UGGGGAAUAUUGGACAAUGGGCGCAAGCCUGAUCCAGCCAUGCCGCGUGAGUGAUGAAGGCCCUAGGGUUGUAAAGCUCUUUUGUGUGGGAAGAUAAUGACUGUACCACAAGAAUAAGCCCCGGCUAACUUCGUGCCAGCAGCCGCGGUAAUACGAAGGGGGCUAGCGUUGUUCGGAUUUACUGGGCGUAAAGCGCACGUAGGCGGAUCUUUAAGUCAGAGGUGAAAUCCCGGAGCUCAACUUCGGAACUGCCUUUGAUACUGGGGAUCUCGAGUUCGAGAGAGGUGAGUGGAACUGCGAGUGUAGAGGUGAAAUUCGUAGAUAUUCGCAAGAACACCAGUGGCGAAGGCGGCUCACUGGCUCGAUACUGACGCUGAGGUGCGAAAGCGUGGGGAGCAAACAGG